GUUUCUUUGCUCUCUGUUGUAAGUGUUCCUGUUUGAAGCUCUUGUGCUGUGGUUUGUACAAGGAUCCCACCCAGGCUGGAUGCUUGCGGGUAUGCUCUCAAAUUGCCAGAGCCUGGGCAUGGCACUUUGUUACUCCGUUGAGACAUUCGGGUGAAUUUGGCUAACUGUCCUGCUUCUGGAGAGCAGUGUCCCAUCUGCAAAGCCGUGUGCACAGCGCAUCCCUCAUCUGGAGCUCUGCAAAACCCUGCAAGGAGCUGCAUGAAAGCAAACUGGAAAGGCCUGUUUGUGCCUCUUGUAUUGUGGAUGUUCCAAAAGGAUGAAGACUGAACCCUGUAUUCCAGAUAUGACCCCAAAAGCACUGAGUGGGACAACGACAUCUUUAUCUCUUCUGGUGAUACCUUUA